rnacentral:rRNA from 1 species
UGGGGAAUAUUGCACAAUGGACGGAAGUCUGAUGCAGCGACGCCGCGUGGGGGAUGAAGGCUUUCGGGUUGUAAACUCCUUUUGAUGCUGAACAAGGCUCUUUUUAGGGUUGAGGGUAGGUGUUGAAUAAGCGCCGGCUAACUACGUGCCAGCAGCCGCGGUAAUACGUAGGGCGCGAGCGUUGUCCGGAAUUAUUGGGCGUAAAGGGCUCGUAGGCGGUUUGUCGCGUCUGCUGUGAAAGACCGGGGUUUAACUCCGGGGUUGCAGUGGGUACGGGCAGACUAGAGUGCGGUAGGGGUAGCUGGAAUUCCUGGUGUAGCGGUGGAAUGCGCAGAUAUCAGGAGGAACACCGAUGGCGAAGGCAGGUUACUGGGACGUUACUGACGCUGAGGAGCGAAAGCAUGGGGAGCGAACAGG